UACGGAGGUGGCAAGCGUUACUCGGAUUUACUGGGUGUAAAGGGUAUGUAGGUGGGCUAGCAAGUCAAGUGUGAAAUCCCUUGGCUCAACCAAGGAAGUGCGCUUGAAACUGUUGGCCUUGAGUGUGGGAGAGGAGAGUGGAAUUCCCGGUGUAAGGGUGAAAUCUGUAGAGAUCGGGAGGAACACCUGUGGCGAAAGCGACUCUCUGGCCCGCAACUGACACUGAAAUACGAAAGCUUGGGGAGCAAACAGGAUUAGAUACCCCCGUA
rnacentral:rRNA from 1 species